rnacentral:rRNA from 1 species
GUCUAUGGCCGUACCACCCUGAACAUGCCUGAUCUUUUUUGAUCUCAGAAGCUAAGGAGGGUUGGUAGUAGUUAGUACCUGGUAUGGAAGACCACCUGGGAAUACCAGGUGCUUUUAAAG